ensembl:lncRNA
GUAAGCAAGGGACCAAAGUGCAGCCAGUCAGGCGUCCGCUUGGGGGAGCUAAUGAGCUCAGGGAGUCGUCUGAGGUCACCUUUCCCAGGAACGCAGAGGAGAGCAGAGAGUGUGAGAGAGAGGGACUUGGGGACGCCUUUUAAGCCCCUGGGUACAGCCAUGCCAGAGUUACUCAUCACACACCGUGGGCCCUGGAGAGACAGCUGUGAACAGAAUAGACAAAGUCCCUGGCCUCAGGGAGUUUUUCUUCAUAGCUCCUGUGACAUCAUUCAGAGACGUGUGGGGAACUACCCAGUGGGGAGAUAGUAUCCUCAUUUCUCGAAGGCCUCUUGGAGACGGUGCUGGGCUGAGUGGUUCUCAGAGUCAGGUGGGCAUGUGAAUUCCCAGAGGCUAUGCUAGAAUGCUGAAGGCUGGGCCCCAGCCCAGAGCUGCUGAUAGUCAGAGGUGAGGUCUGUGCAUCCAUGCUUCUAACGUGUUCCCCAGUAAUGCCGAGGGAACCAUUACUGUUCCCCAGUAAUGCUGCUGGUCCAGGGAACCUGCUUUGACAAUCACUGCUUUACUGCAAGGAAUAAUUUCAAGCAUUUCAUAAACCCCAGUAAUAUUAUUUGUCAUGUUCUCCUUUUCUAGAGGAGACAUCAGUGCCCCAGUUUUAUUCUCUGUGCCUCCCAAUAACCUCAUCUCACAGCCUGUGCAUUCCAUGAGGAAAAAACCAAGCUGGAACACCAUUUUCAGCUCCUUCGGCCAGCGCCCAACAGUCACUAGGGCUUCCUUCAGCCCAGGCUCUGAGCUCAAACAGCUGACCUGAAUCCUGCUCACUCCCGCCUGUCCUCCUGUGAGACCCUGGACAGUGGCUUAACCUUCCUUAGCCUCUGUUUCCUUAUCCAAGAAGCAAGGCUAAGACUAGGACCCUGGGGACUUCCCUGGUGGUCCAGUGGCUAAGACGCCAAGCUCCCAAUGCAUGGGCCUGGGUUUGAUGCCUGGUCAGGGAACUAGACCCCACACGCCGCAACUAAGAGUUCACAUGCCACAGCUGAGAACCGAUGCAGCCAAAAAAAAAGACUAAGACCCUGGCACUGCAAGGCUAGAGCUCACUGAGAGAAACUCCCUUCUAGAACAGUCUGCCAGGGGCUAUGUGACAUCAAUAGCACCCUGAUGGAUAAAAGAAGCCCCAUUCUUCAACAAAAUAAAGCUGACAAAAAUCGGCCAUUUCAAAGCUAAGACCUAUUUUCUAUUUUCCAAGAGCCUGAACACCGGAGGCAGCUGGAGUUUCCCGGUUUCUGAAAAGCCCACCUGAAUGGAUCCUUUCACGAUACAAAUGUAUUUUGCCAGAUUGAGAAACUGAAGCUCAGGGCAAUAGGCUCUAAGCAAGGGGGAUAACUUCCCCAAGGUCACCCCGCUGGGACAUGGAAAAGCAGGACGCAUGGGUCUGUUUCUGGGUAAAAUCUCCAGCUCUUAACCACUGCUUCAGACUUUCUCCAAAAUCCCCUCUUUUCUCCUUUGCACCACACAGGCUGAGCCAGGGAGGGCUGGGUUCGAGUCUCU